CUUGGCCAGGUCGCGGUUGGCGAAGGCGCCUGUGGGCGUCCGCCCGUACCUGACCUGGUCCGCCAUCUGCCGGCCCAGCGUGCGGUCCCCCGUCUGCCAAGGCAGCGUCCAGCUAGCCCGCUUGCCCGUUGACCCCAGGCCGCCCGUGCUGCCGCCCGCGAAGCCGCCGCCCGCGAAGCUGCCGCCGCCGGUGGUGAUGGGCGGCAGCUGCCCCGUGCCGGAGGGCGAAACCGGGGCGCUGCUGCUGUAAUAGGCGGCACCGGCGGAGUCCGCUGGUUGUUGCUGGCUGGGGCUGUGGGCGUCGCUGGCGAGCUGCUGGGAGUGGUGGCUGUAGCGCCCAGUGGCGCCGCCGCCGCCGCCGCCGCCCGGCUGUAGCAGGCCGCUGCCGCCGCGCAUGGUCGCCACGGCGCUGUGGGUGAUGUUGGUGCCGUCGUAGGUGGCGGGCGGCACCUGUAGGGGUGAGGUACAGGUGUGUGUGUGUGUGUGUGUGUGUGUGUUGAUGCGUGUGUGUAUAUAUAUAUAUAUGUGUGUGUGUGUGUGUGUGUGUGUGUGAGCGCGGAUGUCAUCCAGCAAACGCACGCACCGUAUUCCGCAAUGCCCUUUAACACACGUACACACAUGCACGCACACUCGUCCAUGCGCACCUGCUUCUCGUGCAGUGCGGGGUUGACCGGGUUGAAGAACUGGCCCGUGGGCGUGCGCUUGUUGUUGGUCUGCGCCGCCAUCUGCCGGGACUCAGCCUCCUGUCCCUGCACCCACACAGACAACCAGGUUGGCGUCGGCGUUCGAGACUAUGGGGUGAAGUUGUGGGCGAGCUGUCAUGUUGUACUACAUGAGGUGUAGCAAUUGUAUAUGUGUAUGUGCCAGUUGCGAGUGAGGGUCGCGCUGCAGCGGCAUAGGCGACAAAACCUGCCUGCAACACCCAGUCUCGCCCAGCCAGCCCUGUUGGCACUCACCUCUAGAGCAGUGUACGAGCCGAUGGGCCUCUCCACCUGCGGAGCAGCAUUGCGAGUGACAGACCUUAUGUCUAGGCGCCCCGGCAGCGACAGCAAAUGGUGUGCGGGAUGCGCGCGGCGGGGGAGGACAGCGGCGCCACUCCGACCCAACGCGGGCAACGCCUGAAGGCCCGGUGCAGUGGUGGCUUACCGGCUCUCGCACGGGCCGAAUACCCGUCCCUGCCGUUGGCAUAGUCGCUCCAUAGAUUCGCUUGUUUUCCUACAUUCAGGGAGCGGGGUCUCAGUCCCAGGAGCGCCUCCUUCGAUGGCCCUUAUACGCAUGGCGUCCCCGGAGGAUAUGUGGGCUUACCUCCGAGUAAUCGUGGAGCAAGUAGUUGAGAUGCUUCCUUCGGUCUGACGACAAUGCUAGUUUAUCGUGUUGCGUGCAGGCGAACGAGGGGUAGCCCAUGGUCCUUGCGCUGUGACUCGAUAGGCGGAGCUUUAUGAUUAGGUUUUGAAGUUGAGUCGCUAAGUAUGGAAUUGUUAACCUGAACGCUGGCAAGCUGUGCGACUUGUGCAUCAAGGCCUGCAUCGGUGCGUGCUGCUCGCUGGACGGGAAUCGUCGUGGUAACCUAUAGUUUCACGUAUGCCAUAACUUGAUGUACUAGCAACUUUGACUGCAUAUCCCUGUUUCCCGCCUCGCUCGGACCGUCGUCCCCAAACACGAGCUUUCGCGGUGCUUCUUUGGAGCUGAUUGGUAUCAGCUCACCUUACUUCACCAAAAUCACCUGCACCACCAUAGGCGCUUUCUCGGCAACGCAGUUGGGCGAGGACCGCCUCGGAAGCCUGAGACGAUGGCUGGAAAGCAGUGUAUGACGCGGUUGCAAAAGGAGUACAAGAGCUUGUUGAAGGUGGGAGGACUGGCGAUGGCGCUAGCGUAGCCGCGACACCGUUGGCUGGGCUGUCGAAACCCCACGCUUCAGCUCCCAUACAGCCCCGGGUUGUCCGGGAGCCCAGCUCUGGAGCUGCUGGGGGCUCUGUGCGCCCAGGCCAUGACCAGAUAGCAAGGCGUAGCCUGCACUGUAGUGAAGCGUUGGCGCAUAUGAGCUCGGGGUCGCGGUGUCAUUUACGAAGGAGCAUUCCUGCUCCGCGUAUCCGAUCGAAAACUCCGGUUCAAUGUUGGCCACGCAGGACCCGGUGCCGCACAUCACCGCGCAUCCCUCGCCCUCCAACCUACUCGAGUGGCACUUCGUGCUCGAAGGCGCCAAGGUAAGGACAGCCGUACACGCACACACACGCGGCAGCACCUGGCGCUGUUAGCUGGCCCGCUCCGUGUCGUACACAGCCAUCGGGCGGUGUUGGCGUUGUUCUGGCCAUUCUGCGGUGGUUGCGGACUUGGAGUGGGCGGCCAAGCCGAUGCAGACGUCGUGCUGGUGCAAGGGAGACGCGGCGUCUGGGUCGGACCCUCGCACCGGCUGCGGCGUGCAGGCGGUGUCACCGGAGCCGGCCAGGCACCCUCUAUCCCGGCCGGCUCUGUGGGACCGGUUGCGAGUCUGGACACGCAUCCACGCAUCCAUCUCCCCCAUUUCCACCUCGCCUCAUGCCUGCCCCAUCCUCUACAGGGCACGGAGUACGACGGCGGCGUGUAUCACGGCAAGCUGGUGUUCCCCGCGGACUACCCCUUCAAGCCGCCCUCCAUCUCGCUGUUCACGCCUAACGGCCGCUUCGCCACCAACACCAAGCUGUGCCUGUCCAUGACCGACUACCACCCGGAGGUGGGGCGGGCAGGCAGGCAGCGGGGCGGGGUGAGGGGUGGGGUGGGGGUGCAGCCCGCAGGCGGGCAGCAGCGCGGCAGCAGGGCUUGGGGUGGGGGGAGGCAGGCAGGCAGGCAGACAGGCAGCUGGGCGGGGCGAGGGGUGGGGGGGGGGGUGCAGCCCGCAGGCAGACAGGCAGGCAGCAGGGCGGCAGCAGGGCGGAGGGGGGGGGCGCAGCCCGCAGGCACGCAGGUGGAGUGGCAGGGCGGCAGGGCGGGAGCGGGGCAAUGUGGAAGGAGGAUGUGGAGGGCUGGGGUUGCCUAGCUUACCCCGCCUUGAAUCGGAGCCAGUCGGAGCAGCCUAAACCGGUUCGCUGAAUCUCGCACGCGCCCAACCCGCCUGCUCCCCGCCUUGAACUCCCCUCCCCCUACCCCUACCUGCCUACGACUUCACUUCUUUAAUUCAUCAUGAAUGUAAGCCCCCUCCCUGCACCUUCGCCUCCGCUGCAGAGCUGGAACCCCAUGUGGAGCGUGGGCACCAUAUUGACGGGGCUACUCAGCUUCAUGUACGACACACAGGUGAGGGGGGGAGGGGCAGACGUACGGCAGACGUACGGCAGGCAAAUGGCGGGGGUGGGGAGCGUACGGCAGGCAGUUGGCCGGGCAGGGCGGGGCCGGUCAGGCACCGCACGCGCAGCUGCGCAGCGUUGGUGGGGUUCUCCGCGGCUGGGUGGUGUACUGGUGUUGAUAUGGCGGGGCAGGGCGCAGCGGUCGCGGUCGCAGCGGUGGCGGUGUGGCCACAGGUGCGGUGCGCCCCGGCCUCAUCCAGGUACCGUAGUUCACCCGCCCAUCCACACACGCCACCAACGGCCCAUCCGCCCAGGCCACCACGGGGAGCAUCACCACCUCGCGCGCGGAGAAGGAGCGGCUGGCAGCGGAGAGCCUGGCCUUCAACGCCAAGAACCCCACCUUCAGGAAGCUCUUCCCAGCCUGGAUUGAGGAGCUCACGCGGCGAGCCACGGCGGCGGCGCAGCCUGCACCGGCGCAGCAGGCGCAGGCACACGCGCAGGCGCAGCAGGAGCAAGCCAACGGGGAAGUGAGUGGGCAAGCGAACGGACACGCAAACGGCGACGUGGCGGCUGCGAAUGGGGGAGGAGGGAUCUUUGGCGCGGCGCGGCAGGGCGGCGGGGAGCAGCAGAACGGGCAAGCCGGCGGGCGCGGCGGCGCGCCGCCGGGGCGGGGGCUGGGGAAUUCGGUGGUGACGCUGGCCGUUGUGGUGGCGGUGCUGGCGGUGGUGUGGGUGAGCAGCGGCAGCGGCGGCGGCGGAGCGCUGUGGCAGUCCAUAUUCUCACAGGGGGCCGCGGCCGGCGGGCACGCAGGACCCCGCUGAGCCCGUGCCUUCCUCAGCGUGUGAACGUACAACUGGCUGAGGGUAGCAGACGGCAGGACGGUGGUCAGGUGCCGGCGGUACGGUCAGCUCAGUUAGUUGCGCAUGAGGUUAGGGUUAGGGCAUGAGCACGGUAGCUCAUUCAAUCAGCGUCGGGCAGUAACCUUUAUGCCGGCGAAAUGACGAUGGUGACGGUGCAUGGCGGACGGCGGGAUCAACACAGGUUCUGAGCUGCGCCUCCGGGGCCGCAGCGGGCGAGCACAGACAGAGGUGCAUAAAACCAGUAGUACGCAACGCGGGGGCUCUAGCAUAUAGCUGUGGACGCUGCCGGUACAUGGUGCUUGCAGAGUGUCUUGUGUGUUCGCAGGCGCGUGUGUGGUAUGAUGGCAACAUAGUGUGCCGGGGGGAAGUGGACGCAGGAUGUUCUGUUGGCUUGACACUUUGACGUGCCGUACGGUGGUGCGGGCCCGCCGGGACUGUAUGCGCGGCGAUAGCUGUCGUAUAGGACAGUCAGCAAAUACACACCCAGAUGCCCUGGCCGGGCGCCCGGAGCGUGAGUGUUGAGUUCUGGUCGGUUCUGGGUGGCCGUGCUCGCUAGUAGUGUUACAGUGGCACUUGUAUAGCGAUAUACACGACACCAAACUGGUAAAGACUAUGCCCUAUAUAUGGCUCUAGAUCGCCUUCUAUACCCAUCGUAAGGCACGUACCCGGGACUCCCACGGUCUCCCCGCCGUGUCCCCACGUCCCAUACUCCAGUGUUCUGACCGAAUACCCGCUAGUCCUCAACAGUGAGGAAUGCACAUCAGCAAACUUCCAGCCAGCCAGCAACUUGUCGGUACAGUAACUCCGGCGUUCGACCAGCCAUGCACUUCUGCAGUUCUGCUCUGCCACUGCAAACUGUUUGUUGUCUGCUUGGGGUACGGGCGUCAGCUGCACCCUAUGGGACCUCGCCAACCUGCCUGAACCCUGUCCCAUCACACACCCAGAUGCCCAGGGCAUGUUCCGCAGCAGAAUGUGGCGUGGACGGGUAAAGCACAAUGCCUUCGCCGCACAGGUCAAACUCCAUCUGUAAGGUCCAAAAUCUCGCGCUCGGUGUUCUGGCCCUCUUAAAUUAUGGGGCGUCCCGCCCACAAAACGGCAGCUCUCGUGGGCAAAUCAAAUGUUCUUCGAUGGGGCUGGAGCUCCGCCAGAGCUGGGUGUCGGGUAGCUGCGGGGGUACUGUAGGUAGUGAAUGUAGCCUGCUCAGGCUCACACGGGCACGAGCACCUGGGAAUGGGUGUGCCGUCUGCGACUGAGGGAGCAGGGCACACGUAAGACUGGUAGUUGGGAGGGAUAUGGCACAUUGGCACUGUGGCUGCUGCCCCGCAGUGCUGCAAUACCGCGCCCCUGGCCCAUCGCGCCACCAUUUGUCCGGAAACUCGCAGUCAGGACAUCACCCGCACAAAGCAGACUUUCGGGGCGUUCUUAAGCGCAGUCUUGAUGUGAGUGCGGAACAGCACGGAAGACAGCAAUCACUGCCCCCCACGAGCUUGCCACUGCUGCCAACCCUAGCACGCUGAUUCCUGCGUAGGUAGGCUUGUCACCGAAGGUUUGCUUCAUGAACAGAUGAGCUCUGAAGCUGAAAACAUACCCUGUUUCUGCAGAUUUCCUAGCGGUGUACCUCCUAUUCCGCAGCACUGCAUGGCGUGUUCACAUCUCCAGAAUGACUUGCCGUGGUUACACACCAAGGACAAAGGAACAUGUACAGAGCAGAAUUAUGUAUCACUGCGUGUGUAUUACACGCCGUGCUGUUGCGAGCCACUCCAGAAGAGCUGCAUGCCUAAGCUUGAGAAUACACGUGGCAAACUGGGGUUGCCAAAUGUGCGGAGAUUGAUUAUCUCCUGUCCUGUUUUCUACGUUGAUCGUCUUCUCUUGGGGGAAAACCGCCUAAUCCAUCAAACCGCACACAGGCGCGCAACGCGCUGGAAGCAGCGUGCGGCCAAACACACAAGCCACAUCAUCCAAGCGGAGCGGCAGGGCGGCCCAGUGCAGACAACAAAAACUGCACCGGCACACCCGCGCACUCCCGUGCACUGCCCUCAGUACCACUCCUCCAGGCGCCCACUCUUAGGCCACCGGAGGUUGCACCCGUACAGCGCGUCCUUCGCACACGGACCCGAGUUGACACGACAGUCACACGUGUUCUAGGUUCCGACGCGUCACACCACCGCUUGCAUUGCAACCGACGCAACCGCUGCUCCUCACUCCAAAGCCGCUUACAUUCUCCCCAUCCUCAUGCUGCUGCUGCAGCAGCUCCAGAGAUGGCCGAAAAUUCAGCUGUUAGGUGGAAAGAAGAGGGCGCUUACAGGACGGCGGCCAGGACGGAGUCCAGCUUGGCCUUGGUGAUCUCCAGCUUCUUGGCGGCGGAGGCCUGGUCCUUCUCGCGCAGGGCGAAGUCCAGGUCCUCAACGGCCUGGAUGAACUCCUUGCGCAGGCCCAGGGCGGCCUUCUUGGCCUCCUUCUCCUUGGUCGAGGCCAGGGUGUUCAGGUCGAAGCGCAGGGUGCCGACCUGGCGGCGCAGCUGCUCGCGAGCCUCAGUCCUGUUGCGAGGGAAGGGGCAGGGUGGUGGGGAGGGAAGGUCAGCAUCCCGUGUGUCGGAAUUCGUUUUGAUCCGUAUUAUGGUUGCUCCUGUAGCAUUUGAACUUUCUUGCGGAUGCCCGUACCCAAGCCGUAUUAGGUCGCGCUGGAAACCCUGAGCAAGCAUAUUGGCCCCGUCUCGACGACAUCGCGCUCACCAGUAGGACUUCUGGAUGAACACGUCCAGGUCAGCGUCGAUGCGGGCCUCAGACUCCUUCACGCGCUUCUUGGUCUCGUCCAGGGAAGCGCGAGCCUGGGUGAAGCCCUCGCGGACGUUCUGGGGCAGGUCCAGGUCGCUGCACGCAUACAGCAUAGAUCGCACUUAUUAUUGAAGCGCUAUCCCAAACGAUAUCGACAGCUGAUUGAGAUCAGCUGGAAACAUGCCGCACCUUUUGCGGGUGCAACAUGCCAACGCAAGUCCCGACUUACCGGGCCUCGUAGAUCAGGUCGAAGCCGCGGUCGCGAACCGAGCGGUCAUCGAACAGGUCGACGGGGGUCAGAGCAAGGGCAGCCUUGGGGGCCACGGCGGCGACAGCGCUCGCCAGCAGACCGCCCAGCACCUGCGCGCAAAGAUAACGCCAGAUCAGUCCCAGCUCCAUUCACAAACGCGGCCUAAUGCCCCCACGACAUUUCAUUCUUGUCUUACCGCGCGGCGCGACUCGCCGGAGGCGCGCACAACCACGGCACCCCUGCGAAACGAAACAUUGAAAGCGUGUCAAGCUUCCGACGCUUCCCAGGGCGCAUAAUCUGCAGAUCUAGCGCCACAGCUGCCUUGAUAGCAGCAUCCUGUUGCUGAGCUGGCUCGUUUACGCUAUGGCUGCGCCUUGAGCUCGCUGAAAUGCUCACCGGCGGGAGGCCACGGCGGGGCGGGUAGCAACCUUAGAGGCGAGGGCCAUCUUUGCUAUUAGGUUGAAGUGGUUGCGGAGAAGUGACAGACGAUGCUUGCGAGCGA
rnacentral:lncRNA from 1 species